rnacentral:ncRNA from 1 species
AAAUAAAUUUUUUAUGGUUUAAAAAUUUUAUUAUAAGUUUAUUUUACAUAUAAAUUUUAGUGUUAAUUAUUAUUUAUUUUGAUAAUAAAUAAUUUUUUUGUAGUAAUUAAUUUUAAAAAUUUAAGAAAUUAAGAUUUAGUAAUAUUAAAAUUAAUAACUAAUUUUGUGCCAGCAGUUGCGGUUAUACAAAAAUUAAUUUAAAUUUUUUUUAGUGAUUAAUUAAUAUUUAUUUUAAUAAUUUAAAUUUUAAAUUAUUAAGUGAAAUUUUAAUUUAAUAAAAAAUUAUUUAAAAAUUAUGAUUUAAUAAAUUUAAUAUAAAACUAGGAUUAGAUACCCUAUUAUUAAAAUUUAAAUUAUUUAAACUAAAAUAGUAUGUAAUUUUAUUGAAACUUAAAUAAUUUGGCGGUAUUUUAGUUUAUUUAGAGGAAUCUGUUUAAUAAUUGAUAAUCCACGAAUUAAUUUACUUAAUUUAGAAUUUUGUAUAUCGUUGUUAAAAAAAUAUUUUUUAAUAAUAAUAAUAUUUAAAAAUUUAUAAUAAAAAUUAAAUCAGAUCAAGAUGCAGAUUAUAAUUAAGAAUAUAAUGGAUUACAAUAAAUUUAUUUUAUUGGAUUUUAAUAUGGAAAUGAUUAAAUGAAAUUGGAUUUAAAUGUAAUUUUAUUUAAUUUAAUAAAAUGAUUUUAUAUUAAAAUAUGUACAUAUUGCCCGUCGCUUUCAUUUAUAAGUUGAAAUAAGUCGUAACAAAGUAGAGGUACUGGAAAGUGUUUCUAGAAAGAU